rnacentral:rRNA from 1 species
AUUUUGAACCGCAUGGUUCAAAAGUGAAAGACGGUCUUGCUGUCACUUAUAGAUGGACCCGCGCUGCAUUAGCUAGUUGGUAAGGUAACGGCUUACCAAGGCAACGAUGCAUAGCCGACCUGAGAGGGUGAUCGGCCACACUGGAACUGAGACACGGCCAGACUCCUACGGGAGGCAGCAGUAGGGAAUCUUCCGCAAUGGGCGAAAGCCUGACGGAGCAACGCCGCGUGAGUGAUGAAGGGUUUCGGCUCGUAAAACUCUGUUAUUAGGGAAGAACAAAUGUGUAAGUAACUGUGCACAUCUUGACGGUACCUAAUCAGAAAGCCACGGCUAACUACGUGCCAGCAGCCGCGGUAAUACGUAGGUGGCAAGCGUUAUCCGGAAUUAUUGGGCGUAAAGCGCGCGUAGGCGGUUUCUUAAGUCUGAUGUGAAAGCCCACGGCUCAACCGUGGAGGGUCAUUGGAAACUGGGAAACUUGAGUGCAGAAGAGGAAAGUGGAAUUCCAUGUGUAGCGGUGAAAUGCGCAGAGAUAUGGAGGAACACCAGUGGCGAAGGCGACUUUCUGGUCUGUAACUGACGCUGAUGUGCGAAAGCGUGGGGAUCAAACAGGAUUAGAUACCCUGGUAGUCCACGCCGUAAACGAUGAGUGCUAAGUGUUANGGGGUUUCCGCCCCUUAGUGCUGCAGCUAACGCAUUAANCACUCCGCCUGGGGAGUACGACCGCAAGG